UUUUAUAUGUUAUAGAGAAAAAAAUUGAAUUCUGGUAUUCAAAUUUUUAAAAAGGAAACCAUAUCUUAAUUCUUUAAGGUCGGAAAAAACUUGGUCCUGAUUUAUUAAUAUGAUAAUAAACUAAAAAAUACACAUGGUUUUUUUUGAAAGAAGCGAGGGUAGGAAAGAAAUCAUUUUGGGUACACAACUCAAAGUAUUUCUCUUUCUUAAGGUACUAUAGAAAUAAAAAAUGCCUUGAAAAGUCCCGCUAGCACCAGUGUUGAAGAUUAAUAUAAAAGUGUAAGCUUGUAUUAGUUUAGUUAAUAAAAUUUGGUUAACUUGGUGCCAGCAUCCGCGGUUACACCAAGAAAUUAAAUCAUAUUUAUACGGUAAAAAGACAGUUAAAUUUCACAUACUAAGGGUUAUCCUGACUAUUUAUGAAAAAGUAAAAUUUGAACAUAAAUAUAUAAUUCUAUUAUAACCUAAAAAUUGAAUCUGUGACAGCCUUGAGGGAAACUGGGAUUAGAUACCCCAUUAUUCUUGGCUAUAAACUAAAUGAGAUUUACCAGGGUACUAUGAAUAUUUAAAAUUUAAAACUCAAAGGACUUGGCGGUGUUUUAGACCCCUCAGGGGAACCUGUCUCAUAAUCGAUAAUCCCCGCGACACCUGACCUCUUUUUGCAGUUCAGCCUGUAUACCGUUGUCGUCAGGUAACUUUUUAGAAAUUAGAAGUUAGCUAGAAAUAUUAAUAAAUUAAUACGUCAAAUCAAGGUGCAGCUCAUAAAGAGGAGAGGAUGGGUUACAAUUAUACAAUCAUAAUUACGGAAAAUCAUAAGAACUAAUGAUAUAAAGGAGGACUUGAAAGUAAAUUAGAAUAUAAAAAUAACUUGAAUAAGGCUCUGAAAUGUGUACACAUCGCCCGUCGCUCUUGUUGGAAAAUAAGAUAAGUCGUAACAUAGUAGGGGUAAUGGAAAUUGCCCCUAAACU
rnacentral:rRNA from 1 species